rnacentral:lncRNA from 1 species
UUGGAGAAGAAUGAGUCGCUGUAUUUCAAUUUAGCAAAAUCUUGGCCAGGGUAAUCCAUCAGAUGGAUUUGAUAUUUUGAAAUACAAUGUGGACAACCUGAUCAGAGUUGACAGUUGAACUCUGAGAUAUCCUAUGAGUAUUUUGGUCAAGGGGAUGAAUUAUAUGAAAACUAUAUCCGCAUGGGUUCUAAGGAUGUUGUUCUACACAUUCGACCUAUCCGGCCAUCGGGCACCAUUACUAGAUGGUCACUUCGAUUGGUAUAAAAAUUUAUUUCUAUACUACCGACUUAGGGUUCAGACCUAUGAGGUUACACACAUUAUAGUUCACGAUC